UACGGAGGGGGCUAGCGUUGUUCGGAUUCAUUGGGCGUAAAGGGCGCGUAGGCGGCGGGGUAAGUCGGGUGUGAAAUCUCAGAGCUCAACUCUGGAACUGCACUCGAUACUGCUCUGCUUGAGGACUGGAGAGGAGACUGGAAUUCACGGUGUAGCAGUGAAAUGCGUAGAUAUCGUGAGGAAGACCAGUGGCGAAGGCGGGUCUCUGGACAGUUCCUGACGCUGAGGCACGAAGGCCAGGGGAGCAAACGGG
rnacentral:rRNA from 1 species